rnacentral:sRNA from 1 species
UAAACUUGUGCUUGAAACCCCAUUCGGGUAU